ACGAACGCUGGCGGCGUGCUUAACACAUGCAAGUCGAACGAAAAGAGGGAAAGAGCUUGCUCUUUCCGGAAUUGAGUGGCAAACGGGUGAGUAACACGUAAACAACCUGCCUUCAGGAUGGGGACAACAGACGGAAACGACUGCUAAUACCGAAUAAGUUCCAAGAGCCGCAUGGCCCAUGGAAGAAAAGGUGGCCUCUACCUGUAAGCUAUCGCCUGAAGAGGGGUUUGCGUCUGAUUAGCUGGUUGGAGGGGUAACGGCCCACCAAGGCGACGAUCAGUAGCCGGUCUGAGAGGAUGAACGGCCACACUGGAACUGAGACACGGUCCAGACUCCUACGGGAGGCAGCGGUGGGGAAUCUUCCGAAAUGGGCGAAAGCCUGACGGAGCAACGCCGCGUGAGUGAUGACGGCCUUCGGGUUGUAAAACUCUGUGAUCCGGGACGAAAAGGCAGAGUGCGAAGAACAAACUGCAUUGACGGUACCGGAAAAGCAAGCCACGGCUAACUACG
rnacentral:rRNA from 1 species